rnacentral:rRNA from 1 species
CCCUUAGAUGUUCUGGGCCGCACGCGCGCUACACUGACGAUGGCAACGAGUUUUUCCUUCGCCGAAAGGUGUGGGUAAUCUUUUGAAACAUCGUCGUGCUGGGGAUAGAUCAUUGCAAUUUUUUAUCUUGAACGAGGAAUUCCUAGUAAGCGCGAGUCAUCAGCUCGCGUUGAUUACGUCCCUGCCCUUUGUACACACCGCCCGUCGCUACUACCGAUUGAAUGGUUUAGUGAGGACUCCUGAUUGGCGCCGCCGCCCCGGCAACGGAGCAGCGGACUGCCGAAAAGUUGUUCAAACUUGAUCAUUUAGAGGAAGUAAAAGUCGUAACA